UACGGGGGGGGCAAGCGUUGUUCGGAAUUACUGGGCGUAAAGGGCUCGUAGGCGGCCAACUAAGUCAGACGUGAAAUCCCUCGGCUUAACCGGGGAACUGCGUCUGAUACUGGUUGGCUUGAGUUUGGGAGAGGGACGCGGAAUUCCAGGUGUAGCGGUGAAAUGCGUAGAUAUCUGGAGGAACACCGGUGGCGAAGGCGGCGUCCUGGACCAAUACUGACACUGAGGAGCGAAAGCCAGGGGAGCAAACGGG
rnacentral:rRNA from 1 species